AUGGUUCAGAAGAUAAGACAUCAGAUUCUGAGGCCAUUUUCAAAACUGUCACUAAAGAGAGAGACGAGUUGAAGAGGAAGCUGAGUAUCUUUGCUGAAUAUUCUCACGAAGGAUGGAUGUAUUUCAACAACAGUUUCUACUACAUUUCUUCACAAGAGAAAUCCUGGCAAGAAAGUAGAAGUUACUGUCUGCAGAGAGGUGCAGACAUGAUAAUUAUCAACAGCAAAGAAGAACAGGAGUUCAUGAGACGUUUCCAGAGGCUCGUGUGGAUCGGACUGACUGACAGAGAGACAGAGGGGAAGUGGAAAUGGGUGGAUGGGACUCAGCUGACGACAAGCUACUGGGGCCCCAAUGAGCCAAACAGUCAUAAAGGCACUGAUGAAGACUGCGGAGAAAUAAAAUUCUAUGAUGAUGAAAACAGCUGGAACGAUAAACCAUGUGAAUCUCAAAACAUCUGGAUCUGUGAAAAGACAAUAUCUCUGUAACUCAACAACCAAACUCCAAGACAACAACUGAAAUGUUGGUUAUGGCCAAGCUGCAGAUAACGUAGCUCAUUUCACUGCUUUAAUUGCUGAGAAUCAUAACAAGACUGUAAUAUAUUAUACUCUGAUUCAGUGGCUUCAUACUCAUUUUAAAUGCAAUGGAAAUGUAUCCAUUAAUUAAAGCCGCUGUGUGUGACUUUAGAAUUAUUUGUAUUUGUAUGUAUUUAGCAUGCGAGAGAGAGAGCG